UACAGAGGGUGCUAGCGUUGUUCGGAAUCAUUGGGCGUAAAGGGCGUGUAGGCGGUUUGUUAAGUCAUGUGUGAAAGCCCCCGGCUCAACCGGGGAACGACGCAUGAAACUGGCAAGCUAGAGUACCGAAGAGGGGGGUGGAAUUCCCGGUGUAGCGGUGAAAUGCGUAGAUAUCAGGAGGAACACCUGUGGCGAAAGCGGCUCACUGGACCAUAACUGACGCUGAUGCACGAAUACUAGGGGAGCAAACAGG
rnacentral:rRNA from 1 species